GCCCGGAUGGUGGAAUCGGUAGACACAAGGGAUUUAAAAUCCCUCGGCGUUCGCGCUGUGUGGGUUCAAGUCCACUCCGGGUACCA
rnacentral:tRNA from 1 species